ACGCUGGCGGCGUGCUUAUCACAUGCAAGUCGAACGGAGCGAAUGAAAGCUUGCUUUUAUGAGCUUAGUGGCAAACGGGUGAGUAACACGUAGACAACCUGCCGACAGGAUGGGGACAACAUUCCGAAAGGAAUGCUAAUACCGAAUGAAGCGGAGGAGAGGCAUCUCUCCUCCGUGAAAGAUGGCCUCUAUUUAUAAGCUAUCACCUGUCUGAUGGGUCUGCGUCUGAUUAGCUAGUUGGUGAGGUAACGGCUCACCAAGGCGACGAUCAGUAGCCGGUCUGAGAGGAUGAACGGCCACAUUGGGACUGAGACACGGCCCAGACUCCUACGGGAGGCAGCAGUGGGGAAUCUUCCGCAAUGGGCGCAAGCCUGACGGAGCAACGCCGCGUGAGUGAAGAAGGUCUUCGGAUCGUAAAGCUCUGUAUGACGGGGACGAACGUGCGGAGUGCGAAUAGCGCUUUGUAAUGACGGUACCUGUCGAGGAAGCCACGGCUAACUACGUGCCAGCAGCCGCGGUAAUACGGGAGGUGGCGAGCGUUGUCCGGAAUCAUUGGGCGUAAAGGGAGCGCAGGCGGGCCGGUAAGUCUUACUUAAAAGUGCGGGGCUCAACCCCGUGAUGGGAGAGAAACUAUCGGUCUUGAGUACAGGAGAGGAAAGCGGAAUUCCCAGUGUAGCGGUGAAAUGCGUAGAUAUGGGGAAGAACACCAGUGGCGGAAGGCGGCUUUCUGGACUGCAACUGACGCUGAGGCUCGAAAGCCAGGGGAGCGAACGGGAUGACGAUACCCCGGUAGUCCUGGCCGUAAACGAUGGAUACUAGGUGUGGGAGGUAUCGACCCCUACCGUGCCGGAGUCAACGCAAUAAGUAUCCCGCCUGGGGAGUACGGCCGCAACGCUGAACUCAAAGGAAUUGACGGGGGACCCGCACAAUCGGUGGAGUAUGUGGUAUAAUUCGACGCUACGCGAAGAACCUUACCAUG
rnacentral:rRNA from 1 species